rnacentral:lncRNA from 1 species
UUUUUUUUUUUUUUUUUAAAUUUGACACCGAAACCAAAAAUUAGUAAGUGGGACUACAUCAACACAAAAAGCAUUCUCCACAGCAAAGGAAACCAUCAACAAAACAAAAAGACAACCACUGAAUGGGAAAAAAUAUUUGCAAAUAAGACAUCUGAUAAGGGGUUAAUAUCCAAAAUUAAGCAUUCAUCCAACUCAGCAGCAAACAAACAAUCCAAAUAUAAAAUGGACAGAGGAACUGAAUAGACAUUUUUCCUGAGGAGAUAUACAAAGAUUCAACCGGUACCUGAAAAGGUGCUUGAUACCACUAAUCAUCAGGGAAAUAAAAAUCAAAACCAUGAGAUAUCAUCUCAUACCUGUUUAACUGGCUGUUACCAAAAGACAAGAAAUAAGUUUUCACAAAAGUGUGGAGAAAAGGGAACCCGUGUGCACUGUUGGGUGGGACUAUAAAUUGGUGCAGCCACUAUGGAGGUUCCUCAAAAAAAUUAAAAAUAGAAACUACCAUAGGACUCAACAGUUUCACUUCUAGGUAUUUAUCUGGAGAAAAGGAAAAACAACUAAGUGAAAAAGGUAUCUGCAUUCCCAUGUUCACUGAAGCAUUAUUUACAACAGUCAAGGGGUAGAAACAAGCCAAGUGUCCACCGAUGGAUGACUGGAUAAAGAAAAUGGGUCUAUUUAUACAAGGUAAUAUUACCCCCUAUUUAAAAAAUACUGCCGUUUGCAACAACAGGAUAGACCUUGAAUGCAUCAUGCUAAGUAAAGUAAGAAAGACAGAUACCAGAGGCUCUCACUUCUAUGUGAAAUCUAAAACAGCAAAAACCAGAAAGACUCCCACACGACUGAGUGCAUAGACAGAGAACAGGCUGAGGUAGGGAGAGAGCAAAGUGGGUGAAGGGAGGCCCAAAGGUACCACCUUUCAGUAAUAAACAGGUUGCAGGGACGUAAUGUAAAGCAUUUUAACUAUAGUUAACAAUAAUGCAUUGCGUAUUUGGAAGUUGCUAAGAAGGAUCUUAAAAGUUCUUCUUAGGAGGAAAAAGUUUUUUUUGUACCCCUGUGGUGAUGGAUAUUGAAUCAUUAUGUUGUAAACCUGCAACUAAUAUAAUGUGGGGUGUCAGUUAUACCUCAAUUUUUAAAAAAUGUUGUCGUCCUAGUCUUGAUGAUUCUCCACCUUCUUGUUGUGUCAGCUUCAUCUUGGGGAGAAGUGCGUGGUCUCAAAGGUUGAGUUUGAUGGGUUCUCUAUCAUUACUCUCAAUUCCUGGGCUGAAAGUCAGAAGACUUCAUGAACAGUUAAGUCAAUAGGAGAAACAUCCUGGAAGGUCCCUUGCCCACCCCACAGGCUACUGCAGUUGCCGCUCCACUUUUGCUUAUAAAAUACUAUAAGGGAGGAAGAAGUGGGGUUUAUAACUCAGACUACUUUGAUAACCUAGAUAAAUCCCCACCCAAAUAUCCACGAGAGGUAUGCUAGGAUCUGAGCUGUCUGGGAGAAAGGGGGAUGGGGAAACAAAACCAACUGUUUUUAAAACCAUGUCUGGAGUUCCCGUUGUGGCGCAGCGGAAAUGAAUCUGACCAGGAACUAUGAGGUUGCGGCUUCGAUCCCUGCCCUCGCUCAGUGGGUUAAGGAUCUGGCGUUGCCGUGAGCUGUGGUGUAGGUCACAGAUGUGGCUCAGAUCCCGCGUUGCUGUGUCUGUAGCCUAGGCGGGGGGCAAGAGCUCUGAUUAGACCCCUAGCCUAGGAACUUCCAUAUGCUGCGGGCAUGGCCCUGAAAAAGACAAAAAGUCAAACAAACAAACCACCAACCGCCCCCCCCAAGUCUGAUGGGAAAUCCCAUGGUGGCUCAGUGGGAUAAAAUCCCGAUGGGUAUCCAUGAGGAUGCAGGUUCAAUCCCUGGCCUUGCUCAGUGGGUUAAAGAUCUGGUGUCACCACAAGCUUAGGUGUAAGUUCCCUAUCCUGGGAAUUUUGAUAUGCGGAAAAUAUGGCCCUAAAAAUAAAAAAUAAAAACCAAAUCUGGGAUUUGAAGCCUUGCUGAGCUGAGGCAUUUAAUCCUGUGCUCCCAUCGUGACUGACUUCUUUCCUGUACACAACUGAGUUUUCAGUGCCUCGGUCUGAAUUUUAGCUUCUGUUGAGACAUAUGCUAGAAGCACUAGUUUGGAAGCUUUUAAACGACCAUUCAAAGCUACAUCUCUAGCAGCCAGUACAGAGCCUGGCACGUAACAGGAGCACAGCAGAUAUUGCUGAAUGAAUCAAGAACAAGUCACAUUUAGGGCCUUUACCUUUAAAAAUAUAUAUUUAACUUUAAAAUCUGAUUUGUCUAGCUUGCUAAAAAUCUUAACAUAGGGAUUCAACUCUUUUUCUGUAUAAUUACCUCCACUCUGUUACUAGGCUCUUGUUCUGCUGUGUACCUCCCAUUGUAAGCAUUUGGGAUAUAAAGUACAAAUAAAUACAGUGGGUGCCACUUCAUUAUAGUCAAAGGACAAACCUUUCGGGUCACCACAGAGCAGAAAAACAUCAUGUAUUACUCAAGUCAAACUUCUGGGUGAUUUAUAGAUGAUAAUACUAAAAUCCUUAAUGUACAAAACAUUUAUAAAUUUUAGAUAACAAUCAGUAAAAUGGCAACAAAGCAAAUACAUAUGCUGCCAGAGGAUGUAAAAGGUGGAUGCCGAGCCCACUCUGUGAACUUGAACUCAUCACGGCUGUGUCCACGCCAUUUCCCAGACAUUCCUUUCUGUUUGGUUUGUGCUGUGGAGAGACACAGACUUCUGGAUGAUAGAAACAUCAUAUCCAGUCAUUUUCCACCCACGCAUUUAGCUAGACUUUAAUCUGCUGCAUUUACAGAGUUGGGAAUUAUAAUUAUGACUCAGUCACGGCUUCUUGGAAAAAUGUAACUGAUUUCUGCUCUCAUCUUGAGGGUUUUACUGCUCAAUGUCAAGGCAGCAAAUGAGGCCCCUGUCACAGCUCUGCCCUCUAGAGCCUGGACCGUCAGAGGCCACAUUACCCACCAGAAGCCACCCUCAAGCUAACGAUGUGUGCCAUGGCAGGAGAAAACAAGCAGCUUCUCUCCUCUCCCUGGGGACAGAGAGGGGGUCCCGAGCCCUCCAAGUCUCUGCAAGCAUGAGAAAAAGGCAUCAUUAAGGAAGGCCUGAGAAUCUUCUGAAACUUCUCAUUUUAUGGCUUGUAUGCUGUCACUCUUCAAAGAGCCAACCGAAUUUUUCCAAAACAAUUCAUUAUAAACUCAACGUUCUUUAAAAACUUUGAUGCUGUGACAGUGCAAACAGCAUUCAUUUUAUUGCUCAACUUCGGCAUGGGCACAUACAUAGUUAAUUUUUAAAAACCAUUUAUACAGAUGUUAUUGAUAAAGCUCAUGUAACAACUGAGUGAAAAUACAAAGAAUAUCAAAGCUAAAACACUCUGUAAUAAAUACAAAUACAAUGAAAAUGAUAAAACUUUGCUUUUAAAGUCAGUUUGAGAGAAGGAAGAAUAUUACAUUAAGUGAACUAAUUACAUCUAGAAACAAAACAACUCAGCAUUUGGUACAAUCAUCACCCUAACAUAAGUACAUUAAAUACCACAAAUGGCACCCACUGACUGUGUGCUGCAGCUUAAAGACAAGCAGAAGGAGCUGCUCUAUCAAACUGUAAGGGCAUCUGGAACAAUCCCUAACUCCCAUCAAUGCAAUCAGCUCAAUGCCCCGGAAGUUCAAGCAGACUUAGUGUUGUAAGAUAAAGCAAAUUACAUUGUAUUUAAAAGAAAGGAAACUUGUGCUCUGGACUGUAAUUACAAGAGAAAAAUAAAAGACUUGGUAAAAAUAAAACCCGUUCAGGGCAACAAACUAUGUGCAAAACAAAAUGUACACUAUACACAGCACUAUUUAAAAAAUCUUUACACCAAGAAAUAAGACCCUCUGAAACAAAACUCACCUCUGUAACUGCAUAUGAGCUCUACAAAGUAACCACUGUUCACAAUUAAGCAUUCAUGAUGUGAAGGCAAUGUAUGGAAAAGUGACAUCACAUAUCUGAAAUAACACAACUAGAGGAAGGAUUAGAAAAAACCCAGCUAAGAGGGACAUGUGGAAAUAAAUAUUCACAUUAAACAUGAGGUGCAAGUCCAAGUUUGAAUGAGGGGGGCUGGGGGUGGCGGGGGUUGUUUGCUUAGCACCUAUGUGGAAGUAAUCAGUAAUUUUGAAAAUGAAAUCUAAAUCAUGUUUUUAUAAAUUAUGUUGGCGAUACCACAGACGGCAAAGGAGGGUAUUUUCUUUUAAAGCUCUAUGAAGUCAUUAUUAUGAAGUUAAAAAGGCACUCAAAAAGCGAUGGUAUCUGCCUGCUCUAUGUAGCGCGUUAUGAGGAGGAGCGUUUCACUAUUUCUGCAUCCAUCAGCUACGAUUCCUCCAAAGUUCAUCAUGUACUUACUUUUACUGAUAGAUUACAAGAGGCACAAUUACACUGCGCUAGUGCUUUAAUUAAUAUAAAAGAGGGAUGGUACUACAGGUACUCCUGUGAAGGCUGAGAACCAUAUCCAAGUAUAAAAACCUUGUCUGUGUAUUUCAAGAGGUUCUUCGGUAUUACUAAGAACGCAGGAGGAAAACAAAACGGGAAGAAAAAGGUCAGCAUAAGCACGUCGAUCGCCACUACACAGUUUUGACUAUAACCAGCUUGCGUGUAGCUGUCAAAUUUGGCUGAAGAAACAAAUUUAAAUACUUAGAAACGAUACAAGCAGUUCUCGACCUUUUUUUAAGCAGCAAAUUUUCCACCUCUUUUAUUCCCCCCCACCCCCUUUAUGAAACCUUACAUGGAAUUCCAAUAUUUAUCAAAGAGAAAAAUCAGAGCUGCUCUGGGUCAAGGGGGGUGGGGAGUUAGAGGCCCUGCUCAAAUACCAGCUGGGCCUUUCCGCUCCCUCUCUCUCUGUCCCUUCUCUCUUAACCAUCACUCCUGAGGCACCUUGGAGCAACCCCUUGGCCCCCACAACACAGACUGAAAACCAAUCCAUCAAAUGCAAGAACACAAAGGGCUUAUUCACUUGAUAAUUAAGCUGUAAAAUUUAAAGCUCUCUCACUGAAAUUUGCUAUUCCUGAUUUCACAUCAAUGUAAAAAAAAAAAUAACAGUACAGAUUUCUGAUAGCUGAAUUUAAAAAUCCACCCAUGAUUUCAGGUUCUUCUAACCUCUCACUUCAGAAGUCUGGUUGCCUUCUGGACCACGCAACAUGCCACACACCUUGCAAGCUCAAUGUGGAUAUUUUAAAAAUCCAAUGCCAAUCUUCAACACCAAGGGAACUGGGAUUCCCUAACCUCCAAAAAUUACUCUUCGGACUCAAAGUAAUGUACACAAUAAAGUUAGAAUCACUUCUCUUUUUAGUAAUCACAUCCCCUGCCCCACCAUCUCCACUGCAGUUUGUUAGGUAAAAGCAGGGUUUUCUAAGCUUGCUAAAUAAUCUUUUGAGCAAAAGUUUUCCUUUUUCGUAAUUUUAGCUGAUUAAAAUAUGAGCAGCUAAAAAGAGAUUCAGGAUGGUUUACUUGAUAGAAACUUACACCAUAAUUAAAAUGUAAUAUAAAUUAGGUGCAUUUGUCAUAGGAGACUUUGGUUUACAGAAACAGUAUACAUAUUAAAGAUAUAAACCGACCCAGCGAAAGAAUGAAAAUCCCAUCCCAUCCACGUGAUCUGAGUAACUAUAAAAAUGCAGUAUUUCAAGAUGAAAAGCAAAUCCAAAAUACCUGACAAUAUUGAUUGAAGAUAAAAAAAUUAAGAUUUUUUUUAAAGUCUCUUAAAAACAGGGAGUCCCUGAAUACAUCUUAUUGUAGCAAAUAAGCUACUAAGUUUAGACUAAAUGGUUGCAUUAGAAAUUUGACAAACAAAAUUAUAUAGCUGUAUUCCAGGACAUUCAUGCUUGAAAAAUAUAAAAAAGACUCACUUAGGCUAGGUUGAAACAUAUAAUGCUUUUAAAAUAUAAUGCUUUGCUAUAGAAAAAUGUAAUUAAAACAUGUAAAUGGUUUAAUUUUUAAAGAUAAUGAUUCUUUUAUAGCCAAUUGUUUACAAAGGUAGAAUAAUUCAAAAUAAUUUUAUUUCGUUUUAUUUUUUACAAAGAACAAGUACAGGAGCUGUUCAAAAUCAUGUACUCAAUCAAAAUGAAAUGUGACUUGUACCGACUGCUGAAGUUGUCUUGAUGUUUGACAGACUUGAAAUCUGUGAAGCGAUUUGAAUAGAUUAGCUUUUAUAAAAAUAGUAGUAGUCUUUAAGUGUAGAAUACUGCCUAACUCUGGAAAUGUAGGAAAAGUCAGCAUUCUUUAGGUUCAAGAUAUUAAUUUUAAAUAGCAGCUGAAUGUGGCCUCAUGGCAAAGCAUAAAGACCUCUUUUUUUUUUUUUUCCUUGAAAAGGAAUUUCAAAAUUGUCCUUUCCCCUCACAGUGUCCUACAAUUUUUUUAAAGGGGGG